rnacentral:rRNA from 1 species
GACGAACCGUGCGAACGUUGUUCGGAAUCACUGGGCUUAAAGGGCGCGUAGGCGGACCACCCAGUCCGGGGUGAAAUCUUUCGGCUUAACCGGAAAAGGGCCUUGGAUACUGGUGGUCUCGAGGAAGGUAGGGGCAUGCGGAACUUCCGGUGGAGCGGUGAAAUGCGUUGAUAUCGGAAGGAACGCCGGUGGCGAAAGCGGCGUGCUGGACCUUUGCUGACGCUGAGGCGCGAAAGCCAGGGGAGCGGAACGGG